CAAGUGGUGCGACGAACCAGGGCUUGCCCUGGGGCAAAGCCGCGAACGGGUGAGUAACACGUGAGUAACCUGCCCCGAUGACCGGGACAACCCGAGGAAACUCGGGCUAAUACCGGAUGUGGUACAUGGACUUAAGCCUGUGUACUAAAGGAAGCUUCGGCCUCCGCAUUGGGAGGGGCUCGCGGCCCAUUAGCUUGUUGGUGGGGUAACGGCCUACCAAGGCAACGAUGGGUAGCUGGUCUGAGAGGACGAUCAGCCACACUGGGACUGAGACACGGCCCAGACUCCUACGGGAGGCAGCAGUGGGGAAUCUUGCGCAAUGCGCGAAAGCGUGACGCAGCAACGCCGCGUGGGGGAAGACGGCCUUCGGGUUGUAAACCCCUUUCAGGAGGGACGAAGGUUCGCCGGUGAAUAGCCGUGCGGAUUGACGGUACCUCCAGAAGAAGCUCCGGCUAACUACGUGCCAGCAGCCGCGGUAAUACGUAGGGAGCAAGCGUUGUCCGGAAUCAUUGGGCGUAAAGCGCGCGUAGGCGGCCCUGUAAGUCCGUUGUGAAAGUCAAAGGCUCAACCUUUGAAAGCCGAUGGAUACUGCAGGGCUAGAGUCCGGAAGAGGCGAGUGGAAUUCCUGGUGUAGCGGUGGAAUGCGCAGAUAUCAGGAGGAACACCAAUAGCGAAGGCAGCUCGCUGGGACGGUACUGACGCUAAGGCGCGAAAGCGUGGGGAGCGAACAGGAUUAGAUACCCUGGUAGUCCACGCCGUAAACGAUGGGCACUAGGUGUGGGAGGUGUCGACUCCUCCCGUGCCGUCGCUAACGCACUAA
rnacentral:rRNA from 1 species